rnacentral:rRNA from 1 species
GACGAACGCUGGCGGCGUGCUUAACACAUGCAAGUCGAACGGAAAGGCCUGCUUUCCCUUGUGGAUUGCGGGUACUCGAGUGGCGAACGGGUGAGUAACACGUGAGUGAUCUGCCCCCAACUUGGGUAUAAGCCUGGGAAACUGGGUCUAAUUCCCGAUAGGACUGCAGGGUGGUGCCUGUGGUGGAAAACGAUUUUCUAGUGGUUGUGGAUGAGCUCGCGGCCUAUCAGCUUGUUGGUGGGGUAAUGGCCUACCAAGGCGGCGACGGGUAGCCGGCCUGAGAGGGUGGACGGCCACAUUGGGACUGAGAUACGGCCCAGACUCCUACGGGAGGCAGCAGUGGGGAAUAUUGCACAAUGGGCGGAAGCCUGAUGCAGCGACGCCGCGUGGGGGAUGACGGCCUUCGGGUUGUAAACUCCUUUCGACCGCGAGGAAGCCACCUGGUUGGAAGGGUGGUGACGGUAGUGGUAGAAGAAGCACCGGCUAAAUACGUG